ACUCCUACGGGAGGCAGCAGUGGGAGUAUUCAUCAAUGGGAACGGACAUGUAGCCAUGCCGCGUGUGUGAAGAAGGCCUUCGGGUUGUAAAGCACUUUCAGUAGGGAGGAAGGUAGUGUAGUUAACACCUGCACUAUUUGACGUUACCUACAGAAGAAGCACCGGCUAACUCCGUGCCAGCAGCCGCGGUAAUACGGAGGGUGCGAGCGUUAAUCGGAAUUACUGGGCGUAAAGCGCAUGCAGGCGGCCUGUUAAGUCAGAUGUG
rnacentral:rRNA from 1 species